rnacentral:lncRNA from 1 species
AAAGGUUUCUGGUGCGUUGGUAGAAGCAACUUGACUUUCAGCAAUGCCAAGUAUUCAACUUGAGUAUUUCUCUACGGUGGUGGAUUGAUCUGAGUUGUAUCCGUUCUCAUCAGCACUCACUCACUUAGGACUUUGCAGACGCAGGACUCCAGAGUAAUCAGACUCCUCAAGAAAGUGACUGUAAUUUCCAGUUCCUUGGUGGAGGAAAACAAAACACUCUGGUCUUACUUCCAAUGAUGCAA